rnacentral:rRNA from 1 species
ACGCUCGACACCUACGGGAGGCGGCAGUGGGGAAUAUUGCACAAUGGGGGAAACCCUGAUGCAGCGACGCCGCGUGGAGGAAGAAGGUCUUCGGAUUGUAAACUCCUGUCCCAGGGGACGAUAAUGACGGUACCCUGGGAGGAAGCACCGGCUAACUACGUGCCAGCAGCCGCGGUAAUCUGAGCGGGCUGGCGAAGGC